GACAGAGGGUGCAAACGUUGUUCGGAUUUACUGGGCGUAAAGCGUGUGUAGGCGGCUUUGUAUGUCGGAUGUGAAAGCCCACGGCUCAACCGUGGAAGUGCAUCCGAAACUGCAUAGCUUGAGUCCCGGAGAGGAAGGUGGAAUGCUUGGUGUAGAGGUGAAAUUCGUAGAUAUCAAGCAGAACACCUGCGGCGAAGGCGGCCUUCUGGACGGUGACUGACGGCUGAGACGAACGAAAAGCGGAUGGGGGCCAAACUAGGG
rnacentral:rRNA from 1 species